GUAGAUGGCAAGCGUUGUCCGGAAUUAUUGGGCGUAAAGCGCGCGCAGGCGGUUCUUUAAGUCUGAUGUGAAAGCCCACGGCUCAACCGUGGAGGGUCAUUGGAAACUGGAGAACUUGAGUACAGAAGAGGAAAGCGGAAUUCCACGUGUAGCGGUGAAAUGCGUAGAGAUGUGGAGGAACACCAGUGGCGAAGGCGGCUUUCUGGUCUGUAACUGACGCUGAGGCGCGAAAGCGUGGGGGGAGCAAACAGGAUUAGAUACCCUGGCAGUCCACGCCCGUAAACGAUGAGUGCUAAGUGUUAGGGGGUUUCCCGCCCCUUAGUGCUGCAGCUAACGCAUUAAGCACUCCGCCUGGGAGUACGGCCGCAAGGCUG
rnacentral:rRNA from 1 species